GACGAACGCUGGCGGUGUGCUUAACACAUGCAAGUCGAACGGAAAGGCCCUGCUUUUGUGGGGUGCUCGAGUGGCGAACGGGUGAGUAACACGUGAGUAACCUGCCCUUGACUUUGGGAUAACUUCAGGAAACUGGGGCUAAUAUCGGAUAGGAGCCCCUGCUGCAUGGUGGGGGUUGGAACGUUUCGGCUGUUGGGGAUGGACUCGCGGCUUAUCAGCUUGUUGGUGGGGUAGUGGCUUACCCAGGCGUUGACGGGUAGCCGGCCUGAGAGGGUGACCGGCCACAUUGGUACUGAGAUACGGCCCAGACUCCUACGGUAGGCAGCAGUGGGAAAUAUUGCACAAUGGGCGGAAGCCUGAUGCAGCAACGCCGCGUGCGGGAUGACGUCCUGCGGGUUGUAAACCGCUUCCGCCUGUGACGAAGCGUGAGUGACGGUAAUGGGUAAAGAAGCACCGGCUAACUACGUG
rnacentral:rRNA from 1 species